rnacentral:misc_RNA from 1 species
CUCUCCCACUCUUCUUGAAAUGCUCUAUGAUUUUGAUCACUGAAUCGAUUGGUACAGCAAAACUCAACCCAUCUGCAGCCAAUACUUUCAUGAUAUUAACACCAACAACUUGUCCAUCAACAUUAACAAGCGGCCCACCAGAAUUUCCCGCAUUGAUUGCACAAUCUGUCUGUAAAUACUCUCUUCGCAUGCCUCCAAGACCCAAGUCACUGCUUUUACGGUCA